GCGGGCGUGGCGAAAAGGUAGACGCGCUAGAUUUAGGCUCUAGUGAUAUUUAAUCAUGAGAGUUCGAAUCUCUCCGUCCGUA